rnacentral:tRNA from 1 species
GUUGCCCUUAACUCCCUUCCUUUAGUCUUCGUUGGGAGCUUGCAAGAGCCGAUGAGCGAGUG